rnacentral:rRNA from 1 species
CGCGAGUCGAGAGGGGUUAUGCCCUCGGCAUACUGCUCAGUAACACGUGGUUAAUCUGCCCUUGGGUGAGGAAUACUCCCGGGAAACUGGGGCUAAUACCUCAUAGUGGAUAUAACCUGGAAUGGUAUAUCCUCGAAAGAUUUAUCGCCCAAGGAUGAGACUGCGUCCGAUUAGGUUGUUGGUGGGGUAACGGCCCACCAAGCCUUUUAUCGGUACGGGUUGUGGGAGCGAGAUCCCGGAGAUGGAUUCUGAGACAUGAAUCCAGGCCCUACGGGGCGCAGCAGGCGCGCAAACUUUACAAUGCGAGCAAUCGUGAUAAGGAAACCCUGAGUGCCUGUCGAUGCAGGCUGUUCAUAUAUUUAAAUUGUAUGUGAAGAAAGGGCAGGGCAAGACCGGCGCCAGCCGCCGCGGUAAUACCGGCUGCUCGAGUGAUGGCCACUAUUACUGGGUUUAAAGCGUCCGUAGCUUGAUUUUUAGGUCUCUUGGGAAAUCUUUUGGCUUAACCACAAGGCGUCUAAGAGAUACCGGGAAUCUUGGAACUGGGAGAGGUAAGCCGUACUUUGGGGGUAGGAGUGAAAUCUUGUAAUCCUCGAGGGACGACCUAUGGCGAAGGCAGCUUACCAGAACAGCUUCGACAGUGAGGGACGAAAGCUGGGGGAGCAAACGGGAUUAGAUACCCCGGUAGUCCCAGCCGUAAACAAUGUGCGUUAGGUGUGUCGGUUACCACGCGUAACUGAUGCGCCGAAGAGAAAUCGUGAAACGCA